UAUAGUGGAUGGGUGAGGCCUGUAAGAACAUAUGUUGUAACUAACUGUAUGAAAACCAUGCUUUAAAACCUCAGACAUGCCACAAUUCCCUUAUAGCUACAUAUUGAAUACACAGGUAUUAAACUAGUGUCACUCAUGUAUGAAGAAAGAUCUGGAAAGCAACUCAGUAAGUAGGAAAAAAGUAUGACAGUUCAGGAGUUAAAAGCUGAAGCAGAGAGCGGUUCUGGGCUGGGCUAACUCUGCUCUGCGUGUUUCUCAGUCUCCUUAUCGAGCCGGAAAACUAGAUCAAGGUGUUCUCUUGGCCACAGCAGAGGAGCAAGAUGCAAAGCACAGGUGCUUCUCCAGCCUUCGGUCAUGUUAAAUCUGCUACCAAGCCAUCGACCAAAGCCAAUGGAACCCAAGCCAAGGAGUCUGAAGUGUGCCCUGCCUCUGGGGAUGAGUGGUCUGCCUGUACCCUAUGGCCCAUUUGAGCUGGCCUUUCUGGACUGGGCUGCUGUAUGUCUUUCUCAUGGCUGUUGUUCAAUGAAGAGGGCACAAACACUCCAACAUUCAAAUCACCACUAACAGUGCCAUGAAAAACAAGAUAUUGUCUCUGCAUUAAACGUGAUUAUUUCUUGUCAAUUGAAAUGUAAAAGGCACAAAAUGAAACUUGUAUUGUUCUGCCUGAUCUCAAACAAUUCUCUGGAAUUAAAGGAUUUAUGUAAAACUA